rnacentral:rRNA from 1 species
ACCAUGCAAGUCGCACGGGCAGGGCAACCUGUCAGUGGCGGACGGGUGAGUAACGCGUAGGAAUCUAUCCUUGGGUGGGGGACAACCGUGGGAAACUACGGCUAAUACCGCAUGAUCCCUGAGGGGCAAAGGCGAAAGUCGCCUAAGGAGGAGCCUGCGUCUGAUUAGGUAGUUGGUGGGGUAAAGGCCUACCAAGCCUGCGAUCAGUAGCUGGUCUGAGAGGAUGAUCAGCCACACUGGGACUGAGACACGGCCCAGACUCCUACGGGAGGCAGCAGUGGGGAAUAUUGGACAAUGGGCGAAAGCCUGAUCCAGCAAUGCCGCGUGGAUGAAGAAGGUCUUCGGAUUGUAAAGUCCUUUUGGCGGGGACGAUGAUGACGGUACCCGCAGAAUAAGCUCCGGCUAACUUCGUGCCAGCAGCCGCGGUAAUACGAAGGGGGCUAGCGUUGCUCGGAAUGACUGGGCGUAAAGGGCGCGUAGGCGGACGGCACAGUCAGGCGUGAAAUUCCUGGGCUCAACCUGGGGACUGCGUCUGAGACGUGUUGUCUUGAGUAUGGAAGAGGGUUGUGGAAUUUCCAGUGUAGAGGUGAAAUUCGUAGAUAUUGGAAAGAACACCGGUGGCGAAGGCGGCAACCUGGUCCAUUACUGACGCUGAGGCGCGAAAGCGUGGGGAGCAAACAGAAUUAGAUACCCUGGUAGUCCACGCUGUAAACGAUGUGUGCUGGAUGUUGGGGUGCUUAGCACUUCAGUGUCGUAGCUAACGCGGUAAGCACACCGCCUGGGGAGUACGGCCGCAAGG